rnacentral:lncRNA from 1 species
AACAUUGACUUCUCUAAAAUAGGACUUCAAACAUUUGCUUCUUGUUAUACAUGACAUUUUAUUUCUUUUAAUCUCUUUUAUCACUCUUGUGACCAUCUUACCCUCUCUUCUUGCUGGCUGUUCACCGUCCUUGCCUUGUCUGGCUUAUACGUUGCCUUUUCCUGGCCGUGGCUGGCUGGCGCAGCUGGCAUGGCUGGCAGGCCGUGGCCACAGGAGCCGCGGCCAGGCCACCAACAGCCGUGGCCACACCUCCAUGCACGUCAGGAAGGCCACCAGCGGCCAUGGCCACACGCCCACACCUCCAUCAGCUGAUCCGGCCUGGUUUUCAGGCGCCACGGGAUGGCCAGCAGGUGGAGCCGCGGCCAGCCCUCCAUGCGCAGCGGGGUGGCGAACAGCAGCCAUGCCUAGGGCACCAGGGGCUGCCGUGGCCAAGGCACCAGGCGCAGCCACGACCAGGGCACCGUGCGUCUGCGUCUAGAGCAAUGGCGGCACUGUGUAAUGCCCAAGGCACCAGGCGCAGCCACGAACAAGACACAUGGCAGAGGCUCGUCUAGGGCACGGGAGGAGGCUCCAUCCAUGGAGAGGAGAAAGUGGCGUUGAGAAGGGAGGAGUAGGGGCGGCGGCCGGCGGGUGGCGAGCAGGCGGCGGAGUUUAGGGUUUACGGCAGCGGCGUUGCGUCGGGAAGAACGAACGUCGGGUACGGGAGAAGAAACGUCGAUGAAUGACGAUAGAUUAGACAGAAGGGCAAUCUUGUCAUUGAAGAAAAAUACAUGUAUUUGUGGACAUAAACA